rnacentral:lncRNA from 1 species
CUACAGUCAGUGGUUACUUCUCUGUUCAAACGGAUGUUGAUUCUUUUCUUACCGUUAGUUGAUUUCCUCCAGGUGACAAUUUGUCAGCCAAAACACAUAUCUCAGCAGACUUGACAAAAAAAUAAACAUGUACAAGAAAGCCAUAACAAUAGGAUGAUGGGAAGAGACCUUAUUUACAGCUGCAACAAUGUUUGAAUAAUCUACCAACACCAAAAACACUAUGCACAAUCAGGCAGAUGCCAUUCUCAACACUCCAGAUGACCAAUUCCCAUUCAUUCUGCACACUCUCUCUCUCUCUGGUCCCAACCAUAAUCUCCGCCUCCACUGUCAAAUCAGAGCCUCAACUAUGUGCUGAAAAGAAACCUCUUCUUCUGUCUUCUGGAAAGUGUACAUGAAAAAUUAAAGAAACUUCGGAUGUCAUGAUUUGAUAGUAUGAUUCGCUAAGGCAGUAUGAUUCGCCAAUGACUGAUACAGGUCGAUCCAACACUUGUCGUGCUCUACUGCAUUUUCCCAUCUCUUGUUGAAUAUCCUCAUUUCUAUUAGAGAUUGCAUCCUCACCUGCGCGCAUUCUAUUAGUCUCUGUACCUAUGGCUAUUGUAGACCCUGAAAACCCCAAUUUAACUGUUUAUUCACAUCUUACUUCAGGUCUGUUAUCAACUUACUCAAGGGACUUGGAUUGUGCCUGCAAUGCCGAAACACGGAUGGAGACUCUCAACACGUGUUUAAUGGAGAAUCUCUUCUAGUUAUAAUUUUAUUAGGUAGAAGAGCUACUUGUACUUGCCUGAGUUUUGUUGAAGACACCAAGUGUGGGCAAGCCAAGGUGUACUAUGUACUCAGAAUCGACCACACCGACAUUUUUCGCCCUGUCACCCCGAACAACAGACUAAAAAAUUCGAUCAAGCCUUUAGUCAAAUGUCUAUACGUAACAGGGGAAGGACUAAAGGGUGCAUUUGCAAUUAUAUGCUUGUAAACCUCAAGCCCUGUAUCAACUCUCCCUUCAUCACAGUGCGCGUUGAUCACAUUAUUAUAAGAGACGACAUUAGGCACUAUAUCAUUUUGCUCGAAGAAGUACUUAAACAAAGCAAUGGCGUCACUGUACCUGCACUACAAAUGAAGUAGCAGGAAUUAGAUACCAAACCGAAUCAUCAUCACAAGCAAAGAAUUAACAGUAAAGCAGAAAACUUUACCGUUUAGCUCGAUACAUAGCAGCUAUAAUCGCAUUACAUGUGAAGACAGUGGGCCUAGUUCUGGAGAAAACAGCGGUGCGAGCGAGGUAAGAAGCAGCAUCAAGAUCAAAGGCUCUAAUAAGCGACUGGACAUUGUUAUGCAAGCUAAGUCGAGGGCCAACAAGAGCUGAAGUGGAAUCGGGAAGACGGGGAGCAUUGGGAUCCCGAGGAGGAGGGUAAGGGUUACGCUGAAGAGCGUGCAGCGGAGGUUCGAUGCGGAGGCGCCGUUUCCGCCGGCGGCGUUCAGCGGCAGCUUCUUCAGCGGAGGAGAAGGCAAAACUUCGUCGCGAUGAAGGGAUUGAAAGUUGAGGAGCGGGAAUUAGGGAAGCGGUGAUGGGUGGUGAGGUGAAGUAGUGGAGGGCUCGCGUUAAGGAUGGCGCAUAGGAGGUGGCAGAUGAGGAAGAGGAGCGGUUGAGAAGGAGGACACGGUAAAGAGACAUCAGUAUCGGUAUUGGUGUGGCAAUGGCGGAAUGGAUGGAUGAAAAAGAGAAGGGUUUUGGGCUUGGGGGUGUCUCAGAGCAGAGAGAGGAGAGGAAGACUGUUGCGAGGGAGAAUUCGCUUAAACCCUAGAGAUUAAAUUUUAUAAAAAAUUAUUAUUAAAACCAUUGAAAGCCGAUGGUUCCAUCUCUGCUUUGUUAACAUAUCAGUUCUGUUGUCUAUCAAUUAAAAGAUCCGAUUUGUUAUGCUGAGUUUUUGCAUUCAUUCUACUAGUUUUGCAAUGCCAUUACACGCACGGUUGCAUUCAUUCUACUAGAUUAUUUAUGUAUGUAUGAUGGCCCAACAAAUCAGUAUCGAAAACUAUGUUUACUCUACAUUUGAGAAACAGUUACCCCAUGAAUUAUUUUGUCAUGAAAAAUAACUAAACUUUUAAGAACACCUAUCUAUGAAGUCCACUUUGUAGCUUCCGGUCAACUUUGGAGCGAAAAGACCAGCGAUGAUUACACGUACCAAAGAGCAACCGAUUAACCAACCUAGCUAAUCACCACGAAAGCCUAACUCUCUGCUAGACUUCACACUCGAUGUUACACAAUUACUGAAACCUUGCUUUCCUCUCCGGGAAGUAAGUGAGACAGGGGCUUGAAAUAAUAUACUGCAACUUUUCUUUUGUUUCUCAAUUGGCAAUCCAGAAAUAUUAGAUUUGAAUCCAAUACAACGCAAAAUGUUGUUUUAUUCAGUAUGGCUGCUGCGGUUUAAAUAAUUCUCUUUCUCAUAAUCUAGAUCCAAAAAUACCGGAUUCGAAUCCAAUAUAGCUCAAAACGUUGCUUUAUUCGUUUAAUUAGCUCUCCUUCUCAUAAACUAGUCGUUGCAGUUGCCUAAACUGCAGUCAGUGAUUACUCCUCCAUUCAAACGGAAUGUUGAUUCUUCAUUCUUUUAUCACUGUGAGCUUAUGCAAUCCUUUAAUUUCGUCCAGGUGACAAUUUGUCCAGCCAAAACACAUAUCCCAGCAGACGUAAACAUUUACAAGAGAGCCAAGAUAAUAGGAUGAUGGGGAAGAGACCUUAUUUACAGCUGAAACAAUGUUUGAAUAAUCAGGCAGAUGCCAUUCUCAACACUCCAGAUUACCAAUUCCCAUUCAUUCUGCACACUCACUCUCUCUGGUCCCAACCAUAAUCUCCGCCUCCACUGUCAAAUCAGAGCCUCAACUAUGUGCUGAAAAGAAACCUCUUCUUCUGUCUUCUGGAAAGAGUGCAUGAAAAGGAAACUUGGGAUAUCAUGAUUUGGCAGUAUGAUUCGCCAAUGACUGAUACAGGUCGAUCCAACACUUGUCGUGCUCUACUGCAUUUUCCCAUCUCUUGUUGAAUAUCCUCAUUUCUAUUAGAGAUUGCAUCCUCACCUGCGUGCAUUCCUAUUAGUCCCUCUCCCUAUGUAAUUGUAGACCUGAAAUCCAAAAACAAGAUUAUAGUUGAUGAGUAGAGUAGGCCAAGUGUAGUAGGAUGUCUGGA